rnacentral:rRNA from 1 species
AUUGAACGCUGGCGGAAUGCUUUACACAUGCAAGUCGAACGGCAGCACGGGGGCAACCCUGGUGGCGAGUGGCGAACGGGUGAGUAAUACAUCGGAACGUGCCCGGUCGUGGGGGAUAACGUAGCGAAAGUUACGCUAAUACCGCAUACGAUCUGAGGAUGAAAGCGGGGGACCUUCGGGCCUCGCGCGAUCGGAGCGGCCGAUGUCAGAUUAGGUAGUUGGUGGGGUAAAGGCCUACCAAGCCGACGAUCUGUAGCUGGUCUGAGAGGACGACCAGCCACACUGGGACUGAGACACGGCCCAGACUCCUACGGGAGGCAGCAGUGGGGAAUUUUGGACAAUGGGCGCAAGCCUGAUCCAGCCAUUCCGCGUGCAGGACGAAGGCCUUCGGGUUGUAACUGCUUUUGUAUGGAACGAAAAGGCUCUGGCUAAUACCUGGGGCUCAUGACGGUACCGCAAGAAUAAGCACCGGCUAACUACGUG